rnacentral:lncRNA from 1 species
GUUUCAUUAUUAUUCCUUAUUAUAUUGUAUUUUUUUUCUUUUUUCUUUUUAUUUCUAAUUUUUGUUUGAAGUAUGUAUUACAUGCAUUACUACUAUGUUGUGGUUUUUUUUCGCCAUUAUCUAAUGUACUUUGUGUUUAUAUUUAUAUUGGGAGAGGACGUCUCUAAUGUUGUUAUAACUUGUGUCCAAUCCCUUUUGCUACUUUUGCAAGUAAAAUAUGUUUAAACUAAAAGGUUAUGCAUAUUGUUGUCAGUUAUAAAUAGAUAUACAAGUCGAAAUGAUAGGACUUUUUUUUACUGGGAACUCAC